rnacentral:rRNA from 1 species
GACAGAUUGAGAGCUCUUUCUUGAUUCGGUGGGUGGUGGUGCAUGGCCGUUCUUAGUUGGUGGAGCGAUUUGUCUGGUUAAUUCCGAUAACGAACGAGACUCUAGCCUGCUAAAUAGGUGCCGGGUUUUUACAUCUCCUCGCAAGGGGAGAGUGGAGUGUGUGGUUGUCGGGAUCCUGGGCUGUGGUGGUCGUUUAGGCUGCGGGGGGCAACUCUCGUGGUCUGGGCGGCUGUCAUAGUUCACCCGGUGUACGCACACUUCGCGUCCGGCAUUUUUCUUCUUAGAGGGACAAGCGGCGUCCAGCCGCGUGACAGUGAGCAAUAACAGGUCUGUGAUGCCCUUAGAUGUCCUGGGCCGCACGCGCGCUACACUGAAGGAAUCAGCGUGUUAUUCAUCCCUGUCUGAAAAGACCGGGCAACCGCUGAACCUCCUUCGUGGUUGGGAUUGGGGACUGCAAUGAUC